GAAGGGCACUGGUAGGGUACUAGCUAGGGCACUAGGAAGGGCACUGGGUAGGGCACUGGGAAGGGCACUGGGUAGGGCACUAGCUAGGGCACAUUUAUGUUAGACCCUAGGUAGGGAGCACACUUAGUGAGUUAAAUUAAAUUCAAUUAAAAUGAAUUCCCAGAAGGUUUUAUGACCGAAUUAAACACCGCCGACAAACAGCCGCUGUAUUGCAAAAAUUCUUUCAUUUUGUAAUUUUUUUUUGUGAACAAAAUGAACUCUGAUCUCUGGAGUUUUGGAGUUUCAUCACGAAGGAAUGAUUUUUAUUUAAAGGAGCGGCAUGUAAUAAUUAGCGCCCUCUUCUGCCUGUAGUGAGAUGCCGUAGAAACGCAGACGAGCCUUUAUCUUUCCCUUCUGCUAGCAUUAUUUGCGCCUCGUAAAUUGUUUAGUGAAGAAAAAGUGGGCGUGGCUUAGCACCUGUUCUGACUAGGGGUGGAGCUAAUUGCAGCAGACUUUUUUAAAAAGGUCUAGAUUGAUCUGAAUUGAUUUUUCUCUCUUGUGUAACACCCCAGAACACUUUUAUUCCCCAGCUGAACGGCAUUAUUAUUUCUUUAUUAUUAUUAUUAUUAUUAUUAUUAUUAUUAUUAUUAUUAUUAUUACUUCUUCUUUCUAUAUCUUAUCUUUACUCUGAGCGGACUUGAUCUUAAACUUUACUUCAGUACUGGAGUUUCUGUUCUUUAGGAGAAAUCUCUGCACGAGUGUGUAUUCACUCAGAGUUCCGGUGUGACAGGCUAACGCUUUGCUAAUUAGCGCUAAUGAGCCACAGUUCCUCUCUAAAGAAGAGCGUGUCUUAAUCAGGCCCGAGCUUUGCCUCUGACAUUAACGCGUGUCCCGGUUUGUCCUGUUGUGAUUCAGCUCGCCCUCAGCAUCCGUCACAGGCCACUGACGCUAUCAGAGGUCCGGCAUUAGCCGUUAGCGAGGAGCAGGUAAUAAUAGCCGUGCUCCAUUAACCCCGGGAGUGCUAAUCCGCUCUCAGUCCGUAGGUUCAUCCCUCUGUGCUGAGGAUUACGGGAGACCUGAUCGUUCACGAUCGAGGUCACCUUCACGGGUCGAGGUCAC
ensembl:lncRNA